AAUAACUGAGUUUUAUUUUGUUUAUUCUUUUUAAGGGACAGAACCAGCUAUUUUUACAGUGGCAUCCUUGCCCUUUAUGUGGUAAAAGGUGGAGGUCAUCGUGGACCAAGGUGGAGAAUAAACUGUACAUAAAAAAAUAAAUGAUAAUAAUCAUCUUUA